UGGGGAAUUUUGCACAAUGGGGGAAACCCUGACGCAGCGACGCCGCGUGAUUUAGAAGGCCUUCGGGUUGUAAAAAUCUUUUGUAUAGGAAGAAAAUGACAGUACUAUACGAAUAAGGACCGGCUAAUUACGUGCCAGCAGCCGCGGUAAUACGUAAGGUCCGAGCGUUGUCCGGAAUCACUGGGCGUAAAGGGUACGUAGGCGGGUAAGCAAGUUAGAAGUGAAAUCCUGUAGCUCAACUACAGUAAGCUUUUAAAACUGCUCAUCUUGGGGUAUGGAAGGGAAAGUGGAAUUCCUAGUGUAGCGGUGAAAUGCGCAGGUAUUAGGAGGAAUACCGGUGGCGAAGGCGACUUUCUGGCCAUAAUCUGACGCUGAGGUACGAAAGCGUGGGUAGCAAACAGG
rnacentral:rRNA from 1 species